UACAGAGGGUGCAAGCGUUAAUCGGAUUUACUGGGCGUAAAGCGUGCGUAGGCGGUUUGUUAAGUCCGUUGUGAAAGCCCUGGGCUCAACCUGGGAAUUGCAGUGGAUACUGGCGAGCUAGAGUGCGGUAGAGGAUGGUGGAAUUCCCGGUGUAGCGGUGAAAUGCGUAGAGAUCGGGAGGAACACCCGUGGCGAAGGCGGCCAUCUGGACCAGCACUGACGCUGAGGCACGAAAGCGUGGGGAGCAAACAGG
rnacentral:rRNA from 1 species